CUCGAGUUGGUGUAAUGGUGCAUCGCGGAUUGGCACUUGGGAGAGUAUUCCAAGCCCUUCAUCGGGGGUCGCAGGACCAGGUUCGAUUCCUGGACUCGGGA